UGCUAAGCAGGGAGCCUGAUGCGGGGCUCGAUCCCAGAACUCUGGGAUCAUGAUCUGAGCCGAAGGCAGCUGCUUAACCAACUCAGCCACCCAGAUGCCCCUCUUAUGCUUGUUUUAUAUACAGUGUCCAGGGUUUUUAGUUAGCAGGACAAAGAAAAGAAAGAUCUGCUUUAUCUUCCUGGAAGAGUGAGUAGAGAAGUAGGGUCACUUGACGAGCCCCACCCACCCACCCUGGUCUGCAUUUUACUGAUUACAUUCCUAUGUAAUUUAUUGUGCCCCUCCAUCCCCUGCAUUUUCCAUCUAUGGUGGUUACAUUUAGAGGCUUUGGUUACAUUUAGAUCUGACUUUUAGACGGGAAUAUUUCACGGGUGUGCUGUGUUCCUCGGCCAGGAGGCUCACGAUGCUGAGCGUUUUUGUCUGCCAUUUGCAGCCUUCAUUGGCCCUCGUGCGGAUUCAUUAACUGAUCAGGGAUACAGAUGGCUUUUAUAUUAUUAAAAGAUGCCAACCUCAAUUAGAGUUUUGCAAAUGAAAUUUUAAAGCAUGGGAUACUAUUUUUUCAUCCACCAGGCUGACAAAGAUCAAAGAGUGUGAACAUGGAUGCUGGCGAGGGUGCAGGAGACAAGCAGUUCCCUGGGAUGACAGCUUCGGCUGUCUCCAUCGACACAACAAACGCACAGAUCUUUUGGCUCAACGAUUCUGCUUCUAUGAAUAUCCCGUGAAUAAACUCUGGCACAGAGAUGUCAAGACACUUGUCCAAGGGCAUCCAGCUAUCCCAGGAAGUAUAGUUUUGGAGCCCUGCUCCCAACCUCUACACAGCCUGUCUCUCCUCUGGCCCUCACUGCUCCACCAGGAUGAGUGGAGCAUGGCCAAGGUUGGGCUCUUCCUGGACAUCUACUGCAGGGGUCAGCCACAAAGCACGUGGCCGGCCAGCUCCACAAGGACCCUCCACUGAGUCUGUGGAACCAUUUGUUUUCCAGGUGCCCAAUGAGCUUGGCAUGAAGCCCAGGUGAGACUGAUGUGCCUAAAAGGGAUGGCCAACAGCUGCAGAGAGAUGCCCGCCACAUAAAUGGUUAGCAAAUAAAGCCUUUAUCGUUAUUUUAAUUUAUUGCUAUUAUUUUUACAAGGCAAGAGGACAGGGAACAGUUUUUCUUUUUUUGGCAGGGGGUAGGGGCACUGUUUUUCACACAAGCAGUGCAAUUUGAGCCAAGCCUUCCCAAUGUGGGGACUGGUCAUUUCCCUGCUCAGCAACAAAUUUACAAACUGUCUUGUUGGAUAGCCACUACAUUGUUUGUAUUCCUCUUUAUUUAAGUAUUCUCUACACCCAAAGUGGGGCUGAAACUCACAAUCCCAAGAUCAAAUCUCAUGUUCUACUGACAGCCAGCCAGGUGCCCUUGGUACUAGUGUUUUAGGAGUGACUUCCUUAGUACCUGGCUGGCUGUGGGUAGGACAAGCAACUCUUGAUCUCAGGGUCAGGAGUUGAAGCCUCGCACUGGGUGUGGAGCUUACAUAAAAAAAAGGAUGACUUCCUCAAACUUUAAGAUUGACAAAUAUGAUCUCAAUAAAUUUAUGUCUUAUUUGAUUUUUUAAUAACUGUCCAUGUACUAAUGUUAGAAUUCUGGUCAUAUUUAGUAUUAAUUCCCUCCUAAAUUAUUUAAACCACCUCAUUUCAGUAGGUUCACGCAUGAUUAGCUUGAAUAAUUUCAUGUAAAAAGCCUUGUGAAUUCUUAUGAAAUUUAAAUGGUCUCAGUUCACAGUCUGUCCCUUUCUUUUUUCCCUCCUUUCGUAGUCUUUCUCUCCCUCCUUUCCUCUCUGUGCGCUAUCUGGCCUUGCCCAGGUUUAGUAACAGUUAUAAUUUUCUCAAAAAAAAAAAAAAAAAAAAGGAUUUGAAAGCUUUAUAUCAUUUCCUGUGUUCUGGAACUUAUCAUUAAUUUAAAAUACCUGAAAUGAAAAAGUUCAUUUUGAUUUGAAAUUCACUUGAAUAUAGCAUUAUACUUGUCAAUUAACUAAAGGGAAGAACUGUGGAACAUUCAAAUAUAAUUUCAAUUUUAAGUUUUGGAUUGUUAAAAUUUUUCUUUUAUCACCUACUUGGGGCUAUGAAGUCUCUUGUUGAUGCUGACUACCAAGAAUUUGAAUGAGACGUCAUUAUUAAAAAGCCUUGAUCAGGAAUUGUGUGAACCAUUUUGAUUAUAAAAGUUCGUAUAAAAUAAAUAAUGUAUUCAUUGUUUCAA